rnacentral:rRNA from 1 species
ACUCCUACGGGGAGGCAGCAGUGGGGGAAUAUUGCACAAUGGGGGGAAAACCCCUGAUGCAGCCAUGCCGCGUGUGUGAAGAAGGCCUUCGGGUUGUAAAGCACUUUCAGUAGGGAGGAAGGUAGUGUAGUUAACACCUGCACUAUUUGUACGUUACCUACAGAAGAAGCACCGGCUAACUCCGUGCCAGCAGCCGCGGGUAAUACGGGAGGGUGCGAGCGUUAAUCGGAAUUACGUGGGCGUAAAGCGCAUGCGACGGCGGUCCUGUUAAGUCAGAUGUGAAACGCCCGGGGUCUUAACCGUCGGAAUUGCAUUUGAAACUGGCAGGCUAGAGUCUUGGUAGAGGGGGUUAGAAGUUUCGGGUGUAGCGGUGAAAUGCGUAGAGAUCGUAGAAGG